UACGUAGGGCGCAAGCGUUGUCCGGAAUUAUUGGGCGUAAAGAGCUCGUAGGCGGUUUGUCGCGGCUGCUGUGAAAACCUAAGGCUCAACCUUGGGCUUGCAGUGGGUACGGGCAGACUAGAGUGCGGUAGGGGUGACUGGAAUUCCUGGUGUAGCGGUGGAAUGCGCAGAUAUCAGGAGGAACACCGAUGGCGAAGGCAGGUCACUGGGCCGCAACUGACGCUGAGGAGCGAAAGCAUGGGGAGCGAACAGG
rnacentral:rRNA from 1 species